UACAGAGGUCUCAAGCGUUGUUCGGAUUCAUUGGGCGUAAAGGGUGCGUAGGUGGCGCGUUAAGUCAGGUGUGAAAUUUCGGAGCUUAACUCCGAAACUGCAUUUUGAUACUGGCGUGCUUGAGGACUGGAGAGGAGACUGGAAUUCAUGGUGUAGCAGUGAAAUGCGUAGAGAUCAUGAGGAAGACCAGUGGCGAAGGCGGGUCUCUGGACAGUUCCUGACACUGAGGCACGAAGGCCCAGGGGGAGCAAACGGG
rnacentral:rRNA from 1 species